rnacentral:rRNA from 1 species
CCUACGGGAGGCAGCAGUGAGGAAUAUUGGUCAAUGGACGAGGGUCUGAACCAGCCAAGUAGCGUGAAGGAUGACUGCCCUAUGGGUUGUAAACUUCCUUUAUAUGGGAAUAAAAUGUUCCACGUGUGGGAUUUUGUAUGUACCAUAUGAAUAAGGAUCGGCUAACUCCGUGCCAGCAGCCGCGGUAAUACGGAGGAUCCGAGCGUUAUCCGGAUUUAUUGGGUUUAAAGGGAGCGUAGGUGGAUUGUUAAGUCAGUUGUGAAAGUUUGCGGCUCAACCGUAAAAUUGCAGUUGAAACUGGCAGUCUUGAGUACAGUAGAGGUGGGCGGAAUUCGUGGUGUAGCGGUGAAAUGCUUAGAUAUCACGAAGAACUCCGAUUGCGAAGGCAGUUCACUGGACUGCAACUGACACUGAGGCUCGAAAGUGUGGGUAUCAAACAGGAUUAGAUACCCUAGUAGUC